GAUGAACGCUAGCGGCGGGCUUAAUACAUGCAAGUCAAGGGGUGGUAGCAAUACUACACCGGCGCACGGGUGCGUAACGCGUAUGCAAUCUACCUUUAUCUGGGGGAUAGCCCGGGGAAACCCGGAUUAAUACCGCAUAACAAAUUUCUUGGCAUCAAGAGAUUUUAAAAGAUCUAUCGGAUAGAGAUGAGCAUGCGUAAGAUUAGAUAGUUGGCGAGGUAACGGCUCACCAAGUCUACGAUCUUUAGGGGCUCUGAGAGGAGAAUCCCCCACACUGGCACAGAGAUACGGGCCAGACACCUACGUGAGGCAGCAGUAGGGAAUAUUGGGCAAUGGGCACAAGCGUGACACAGCCACGCCGCGUGCAGGAAGAAGGCCCUCUGGGUUGUAAACUGCUUUUGACUGGGAAGAAAAGACUCCUUGCGAGGAGAGUUGACGGUACCAGCAGAAUAAGCCACGGCUAACUACGUGCCAGCAGCCGCCGUAACAC
rnacentral:rRNA from 1 species